rnacentral:lncRNA from 1 species
ACCUACUGCUGAGGUGUGUGAAUUAAUGAUCAGAUGGAUACAGCAGGUUGUACAACAUUAACUUUAAAUUGUCAGCUCCACUGUGAAUGUCUGACAGUCUUCCUUUUAUAUGCUUGCUUUCAUUCUGGGUCUGAGUUGCAAAGAAUAAACACUUGCUUCCUUGUGUUUAAGUGACUUAAGAGUCUGAGCAGGAAUAUUGGGAGUCCUUUUCGCUUGCUGGUGGCUUUGGUGAUGGCACAUAUGGAACAUGAUGGAACAUUCCUUGACUUGACUUCUUUGUGACCGAAAUAGUAAAAGCCCCCGUUACCUCGCCAACCACGGUGUCACACUACAAUCUACACGCCUGUAGAAUGUGAUCUAUGUCACCUUCCUGAGUAUUUAUAUAGCUCCAUUUUGAACGUAGUAGUAAUAUAACUUGCUAAAUGCUGUCAUUAGUUUUUUCUCAUUUUUAAACAAUCAACAAGGUUUAUUAUUAGAACGAAUG